UUUGGUUAAGUUAGAAAGGGCGCACGGUGGAUGCCUUGACACUAGGAGUCGAUGAAGGACGGGACUAACGCCGAUAUGCUUCGGGGAGCUGUAAGUAAGCUUUGAUCCGAAGAUUUCCGAAUGGGGAAACCCACCAUACGUAAUGGUAUGGUAUCCUUAUCUGAAUACAUAGGGUAAGGAAGACAGACCCAGGGAACUGAAACAUCUAAGUACCUGGAGGAAGAGAAAGCAAAUGCGAUUUCCUGAGUAGCGGCGAGCGAAACGGAACAUAGCCCAAACCAAGAGGCUUGCCUCUUGGGGUUGUAGGACAUUCUAUACGGAGUUACAAAGGAACGAGGUAGACGAAGCGACCUGGAAAGGUCCGUCGUAGAGGGUAACAACCCCGUAGUCGAAACUUCGUUCUCUCUUGAAUGUAUCCUGAGUACGGCGGAACACGUGAAAUUCCGUCGGAAUCUGGGAGGACCAUCUCCCAAGGCUAAAUACUCCCUAGUGAUCGAUAGUGAACCAGUACCGUGAGGGAAAGGUGAAAAGCACCCCGGAAGGGGAGUGAAAGAGAUCCUGAAACCGUGUGCCUACAAAUAGUCAGAGCCCGUUAACGGGUGAUGGCGUGCCUUUUGUAGAAUGAACCGGCGAGUUACGAUCCCGUGCGAGGUUAAGCUGAAGAGGCGGAGCCGCAGCGAAAGCGAGUCUGAAUAGGGCGUUUAGUACGUGGUCGUAGACCCGAAACCAGGUGAUCUACCCAUGUCCAGGGUGAAGUUCAGGUAACACUGAAUGGAGGCCCGAACCCACGCACGUUGAAAAGUGCGGGGAUGAGGUGUGGGUAGCGGAGAAAUUCCAAUCGAACCUGGAGAUAGCUGGUUCUCCCCGAAAUAGCUUUAGGGCUAGCCUUAAGUGUAAGAGUCUUGGAGGUAGAGCACUGAUUGGACUAGGGGUCCUCAUCGGAUUACCGAAUUCAGUCAAACUCCGAAUGCCAAUGACUUAUCCUUAGGAGUCAGACUGCGAGUGAUAAGAUCCGUAGUCAAAAGGGAAACAGCCCAGACCGCCAGCUAAGGUCCCAAAGUGUGUAUUAAGUGGAAAAGGAUGUGGAGUUGCUUAGACAACUAGGAUGUUGGCUUAGAAGCAGCCACCAUUUAAAGAGUGCGUAAUAGCUCACUAGUCGAGUGACUCUGCGCCGAAAAUGUACCGGGGCUAAAUACACCACCGAAGCUGCGGAUUGAUACCGAAUGGUAUCAGUGGUAGGGGAGCGUUCUAAGGACAGUGAAGUCAGACCGGAAGGACUGGUGGAGUGCUUAGAAGUGAGAAUGCCGGUAUGAGUAGCGAAAGACGGGUGAGAAUCCCGUCCACCGAAUGCCUAAGGUUUCCUGAGGAAGGCUCGUCCGCUCAGGGUUAGUCAGGACCUAAGCCGAGGCCGACAGGCGUAGGCGAUGGACAACAGGUUGAUAUUCCUGUACCACCUCUUUAUCGUUUGAGCAAUGGAGGGACGCAGAAGGAUAGAAGAAGCGUGCGAUUGGUUGUGCACGUCCAAGCAGUUAGGCUGAUAAGUAGGCAAAUCCGCUUAUCGUAAAGGCUGAGCUGUGAUGGGGAAG
rnacentral:rRNA from 1 species